rnacentral:rRNA from 1 species
UACAGAGGGGGCAAGCGUUGUUCGGAAUUACUGGGCGUAAAGGGCGCGUAGGCGGCCCGCUAAGUCGAACGUGAAAUCCCCCGAGCUCAACUCGGGAACUGCGUCCGAUACUGGCGGGCUUGAAUCCGGGAGAGGGAUGCGGAAUUCCAAGGUGUAGCGGUGAAAUGCGUAGAUAUCUGGAGGAACACCGGUGGCGAAGGCGGCAUCCUGGACCGGCAUUGACGCUGAGGCGCGAAAAGCUAGGGGGAGCAAACGGGGAU